rnacentral:rRNA from 1 species
GCCGGGUAGCUAAGUUCGGAAGAGAUAAGCGCUGAAAGCAUCUAAGCGCGAAACUCGCCUGAAGAUGAGACUUCCCUUGCGGUUUAACCGCACUAAAGAGUCGUUCGAGACCAGGACGUUGAUAGGUGGGGUGUGGAAGCGCGGUAACGCGUGAAGCUAACCCAUACUAAUUGCUCGUGAGGCUUGACUCU